UAUGCUUGAUCCAAUAGGCUUGAUUUAAAGUUUCUGUUGUUACUUUGGUUUACUUUGAAUAUUCUUCAGAUUUCAGAAGUGGUCACUAACAAUUUCAUUGUCAACAGUUACUAUUCCUCACUGAUUCACUGUCCUGUUUGUCUAAAAUUAUAUUUGUGGGUCGGUCCACAAUUUUUAUAUAUUGCCAAAAGUUAUACAUUGAGGUAUUCUAUUUUUGUGUUAGCAUUAUAUUUUGCAUUUGUUUGUAACUCAAAUUCUUUGUCUUCUUUAUGAGAGAACUGAGUUCAUACACUUCAAUUUAAAAAUCUUAGGCUGUAGUAGCCAGGAAUUCUGUAUCACAACAAAAACAAAUUUUACAUAAUGUGAAGUACACAAUAUGGCACUAUAGUAACAUUUCAUUGUUAUGCUUUUGCACAAACUCAUUGUACUGCUUGGAUUUGAUAAUAAAAUCACACCUGCUAAAGCUUCAAAGAAAAAAUGUAGAAGAUCACAAUCUGGAGAAACCCAAGACAUUCAUCCCCCAAAACAAAGUUUUGCAUUUAUGUUUCUCUCACUGUAUUGCAAAUUUCAAGAUAGUUUUCAAUACAUUAAAUUUGUGGUACUUGUGUACCAAAUUAAUGACUCUUGAUAUAGUUUUGUGGAAAAAGGAAAAGAAAGAUAACCAGAUUGAUCUCUUUAUUUUACCAUGUAGUCUACAGACUCCAGAUGGAAAAAGACAGAGAAAGAAAUUCUAAAGCGGUAUUCAAGGACCCAUCCUCCUCCACACUAAUUCAUAUUGGAAGAAAUUAACAUCCAACUUGAAUGAAGAAUUACAGACUUUCAGAACAGACCCUUUAAAAAAAGGAGAAGCCAGAUCUUCAGAAGACUUCCUUGAAAAUGAGAAUUUUUUGAGUGGAAAUGAAGAAUAUGGGAUGCAUACAAGCAGACAUCAGCAUUCCCUCCCUCUUGUUUGUAUCAGAGGUGAGCUUUUUGAGAAAGACUUAUGAAGGAAGUUUGAGAGUGUCAGUUCUCAGAUCAAGAAGUUAGCUAACAGUAGGAGGAGUAGUAAUUCAUUCCACAGUAUGGCCAGAGAAAUAUAUGACAUGAAAGACCUGAAAAGGGAGAUUUGGCAUUGUUUCAUGUGGAAAUUGAAGAAUCUUUGAAAUGGAUACAUGCAACACAGACAUGUUUCAGUUACUUGGGGAUAAAACUUAUGAGGAAUUUUGCUGACUUUCAGAUGGGAAUGUGUUGCACAAGAAAUGCUUGAUCACAACCUUCUUUUAUUAGAAACCUUUUCUAUGCAAAUAAUUAUUUUAAAUGAAAUUUUGCUAUUUCAUUAGACUAGUAAACAUGUUUUCUGUGCAAAUGUGUGUCUUUGACAUUAAAUGCUAUGAUAUAUUGAAGUAUUUUUAAACAAUGGAAGAUCUCUACUAGUUCUUUCAAAGGAAAGCCAACAACAGGAAUCGAACCUGUUCCUCCAUCGUACAGAUACGAAAGUGUGCACCAGUACACCAUGUUGGCAUAUAUUAAGAACUAGUAGCCUUGGAGAGUACAUAUUGUAUUAUUCUUGUAUAGUUGAUACUGGUUGGUGUGAUAUAUAUGUAUAUAUAUAAUAUACAUACAGCUUAGUAUAAAUAAUGCAUGCCUCAUGUUUGCUAGUCGUCAAUAAAGCA